rnacentral:misc_RNA from 1 species
AUACUUUUUCAAAGUGCCAUCUGAGUUGUAUUCUGUGAACACCCAUCUACAUCUAUUUGAUUUCUUCGCUUUCGGCAACCUCACUAAGUCCCAAGUCUUGUUUUUCUCAAGAUCUUCCAUCUCAGCCUUCAUUGUAGUUUUCCAAUUCUCAUUUCCUAAUGCUUUGCAUAAUGUUUUUGGGGUAGGAAUUGUAUUUAGGCUAGUAAGAAAGGUCCUAUGGUUAUGAGAAAGAUUCUUA